GGCUCAAAGUUCAAAAUUGACCGUUGAUUUCCAGGAGUGUAUUUCAGCCCAGAGUUAAAUAUUUUUACCCCUUAAACCUGGACGGCUCAAGUUGGUCUCAAUAUGUCCAAGAAUAUUUUUUGAACGAAGAUAUAUGUAUAAAACUGUAUAUUUAUUCGGAAAUAGUGUUUUUAAAAUGUAUGUUUGAAUAUCUAACGUGAAAAAUGAAAGUUCUCAAGAAAAGCUGAUGAAGUAUAGUCUUCCUAUUUUUAUGGCGGGAACGAGAAUAAUUAAUCAUGGAAGCAAAAAUGGCUGCUCUGGUACCGAUUGUUAAGGGACAAAAUGGCUGACGCUGUCUCUCAAGGACCAGCUUAAUCCUUUGUUGCCUGAGACAAGAAAAACGGGGAACCUUAAAGUUUCUUGUAGCGAUGACACUGGAAUGAGUUCAAUAUAAUGAACAAUGAAGAUAAGAAUUUUCUAUCACUGAAAAAUUGGUUUUCCGGAAAUGGAGCUUAAACGCGAUUAGAUCUAUAAGAAAAUUUUAGCUCUUACGCUUUAACAAGUGUACUUAACAGUAGAAAUAAAAAGUUGGGUACUUUUUAA
rnacentral:misc_RNA from 1 species